ensembl:lncRNA
AGGGUGCGAUGCAGCCCGACAUUGCUCAUUUUCCUAUAACAGCGUGCCCUGGAGGGCUUUAUUUCUGUAACAUCACAGCAAUAACUGAUCAAUGAACUGCACAGCGUACUUUAUCAGUUUGUAAAGACAUUUAAUAUUGCGGACAAGAGAGACAAGUUCAUGUUAUCACUUCGCAGCUAUAAAUAGUUGCUCCCGCUCCAGACUUUCUUUUUCUCUCGCAAAGUGAAUAAAACAACAACAAAAUAAUACAUGCAUCUUCCCAUGUUACAUCAGUAUGCUCAGUCCUAAAGACGACCGGUGGAAAAAUGACUGACUAUUACAGAGUGCUAACACUGGAGACUUUUUCUUUUCCAUAAAUGUUGAACAAACAUCUUCCAGAAAAUGUCACAUCAAUGAUUAAAAGCGUUCUUCGUUAAAUACAAUUUUUUAAUCAUUCGGCUUAGAUUACAUGAAGAGUAUGCCAUCGAAGUCGUUGUUACUAUAGAAACCAGUACAUAUCAGAGCACAUAAAUAUAAGCACUGCUGUCAGAAAAAAUGAAUUCGAAUUGUCUGACCAAUCAGAAUCGAGAAUCGAACAGUGGUGUGGUAUAACCGUUUUCCAUUCAAGACAUUUCCUCUCUAAAUAAAACGUGGGACGUUUUGUAAAAUUUACCUAUAGCACUGUGUCUCAUCCUCUCUCACACCAUUUCUCUUCCCCUUCCUGUCUGCAGGUAAACAUUAUUUCUCUUGAGUCAGACAGUGUUGUGAAGGAGAAAUUCCAGGGGAAAGGUGGACUCAAGCUGUGAAAAGCGACCACCACAUUCACCAGGGUACUUUAUUUUCAAGCUCCAGCAACUAAGAAGAAAGGAGAGAAUGAGAGGGAGGGAAAUAAGAAGGUACUUUAUAUUUUGAAGGCUUGGGUGAAAAAGAGACUUUGGAAAGAAACUUCAGAUUAAUAGAGGUCAACGAUGUGGAUUUAAAAAAAAACAACAAAAAGCAACAACAUUAACAUAGACAUCAACUUAUAAAUUAAAUAAGAACAAGCCAGUCAAGGACACUGCGUUAGGGAUUUGGUUGUUUUUUUUUCUCCUCCCUGUGUGAAAUAUUCUCCACCACUCACCCGGAUACCUGGAAACCACAGGGACACAAAGCCAGCCAAUCAGCCCUCAUGGGAACUAGAGCCCUGGCCUCUGAUUGGUCAUGUGUGCCCCCUAAGCUCAUUAUUAUAUCAGCGUGUCCUUCACUGUGUUGUCUGGCUACUAUCAGGCCAACGACGUGCCAGCGCUCUCCCCCACAAACAACAUUUUAUUGGAGGAGAAACAGACAGAAAGUGGAUUACUGACAACCAGAAAAUAAGGAUAAAAAAAUACUUAAGUUGUAGAGAUGAGAGAAGAAAUCCAUCUAAUGAUAAUAACACACACAAAAACACGGACCUGGAAAAAGCAUUAAUCAGCAUUUAUCCAUAUGCAAAACAUUCAAGUUCGAAUGUAUAUUUGACAUGCAAAUAUCUGUACAACGUCCGUGUUCACAAACACUGACAACAUGCACGCUCACUGUGAGGACCUUCCACUGGCAAAUCCACUCAUUGUAGCUAAAUAAUACUUUGCCUACAACUAAAUACAACAACCUCAGUAACUAAAAUAUUUUGACACUUAAAUUUUUAAAUAAAAGCUGUAAAAACAAAACAAAAACAAAGAAAAAACUGUUUUUCCUCAUGGGGACCAGCCAAAUGUCCCCAUAAGGCCAAAGCACACACACACACACACACCUGUUGUGGUUGUCUUGAAUAAAGGAACACACACAGACGCUUUCAUCCUUUGCCGUCUCUAAAGUAAAUGAGCUACAGUAAUUGUUUCAUUAUGACUGUCUAUUGAAAUCGUUUCCCUUUUCUCUCCUCCUCCCUUUGUUCUUCACAUCCGGGCUCCUCAUUUCCUUGUUUUUCUCCUGUCAUGUGCUGUUUUUUACUACUAACCUGGUCACCACCUACUAGACCUCCAACACACUCUCACAUGUCUGUAAGGUAAAUAAAACUCAGCAUGACAGUGUUUGUAUUUUUAACAACUUCUUAAGUAAUACAACUUAACUCGCUCUCAGAUCAGUUCUUUCCUCCAUUACUCGAUAUCCACAUCGGGUCAUUCUUUUCUAUAUUUACAGUUCGGACAAUAACAGCAAUCAUGGAAGAGAACAGCCUUCACAUGCAUCAAAGUUGCUAGACCUUUCGGUUCUGGCUAUGAAAAACCACAACACAAGCAGAAGAAGACAUUUUAACAUGACUAGUUCCCAACCCUGGUGCUGGAGCACAGUUAAGUGUUCUCCCAGGUGCUGGAGCACAGUUAAGUGUUCUCCCAGGUGCUGGAGCACAGUUAAGUGUUCCCCCUGGUGCUGGAGCACAGUUAAGUGUUCCCCCUGGUCCUGGAGCACAGUUAAGUGUUCUCCCAGGUGCUGG